CUCAUGAUUACUAAUUGUAGACAAGACCACUGAAACACAAAAGGGUUUGUGGAUUUCUCGAGUCUUGCACGCCAAGUAACUUCAGUGAAACAGGAUCUUAAAUCGAGCGACAUGUCAUCAAGGAACAAAAGGAUGCGUUAAGGUCUUUGACAGCGAGUUACUAAAGCUGGUGGUAGAAGCUAGCAAUCCUCAGAUUAACACUGUGCAGUAUAUGAGAAUCUGUUAGUUCAAUGAGACUUAGAAAGGUCUCUUGAAUUAGUGAGGAGUAUAUAUAGCAGGGGAAUGAGAUUGAUACUCACGGUGCUUGAAGAAAUGUAUACCUGAAAAUUAAAGCGCAGCGAUGAGGAAAGAAGCUUGAAAUGAGAAACUGAUGAUAUUACAAAUGAUGCAUCUCUCACACCAUGGUUUUAUAUAGUAAACCAAGAUUCCACUGUUACAAAGCAAGGACACAUGAAAGACCUAACUUUUACUGCAGCAGAGCAGCCAAAAGGAGCGACAUGUCUUAUCAAGAGCAGUCAAAUGAGAAUGAAAGCCUCUUAUAGCUAAACUGUUGUCUGUUUCUUCUAUACAUGUGUUUUGGCAUCUGUCUUAGUCUGUGGAUAUUGUUUUCUAUAAUAAUUUAGCUCUCUCAACGCAGCAGGAUGUGAUUAAUUAGGUUAAAAGGCAUGAUACUUUUUCUAUCAACAUGAUAAGAAACCUCUUAGUGAGCACUCUUUUUAAAAAAUUGCGCAUGCUAGUAACACAAAUCAAGCCUAAAUUAUCAACGCAUCCCAUUUGCAAAAGGGUGAAAUUCGUGAAGAAAAGUAAUCACAGAGCUACAAAACCAUAGCAAAUCUCCUUUAAUGUACUUAUAAAACCUUAAGAAAAUCUCAUCAAUUCUGUUGUAACUUGUAAGUAAUAGAAAAUUACAUUACUUAGAGCAUCAGCAUUGGUUUGGUUUCUUAAAUCUAAUUUCUCACUUUAUUAUUCUUAUAUAACUUUAUUUUACACUUAAGUUUUGUCAUUGUCAAAAAGUGUAUACCAUUAAAAAAAGAAGACAAGUGGAGAAAGUCUCUACAAUAAACAAAAAAGUCUCUUCUCCUCUAUCUUGUUUUUUACUUUAUCUUUUGGACUUUCUGAAUUUUUUAUAUGUUUUAGUUGUAGAGAAGCGGUGCUAGAGACUUCAGCUGCGCUUGCCCUUAUUCUCUGUUCAUGCAGAGAUCAAAGUGAAAGUUCACAGUCUUAAUCCUCCAGGAAGAUGCACAUUUAUCUUUACAAGCUGCAGAUCUCCCAUAAACAAUUAGAAGUCUCUAUGUUCCAUAUACAUAUCAACACUCUAUUUAUGUUGAAGGCAUGAGAGAGGGAGCAUCUCUUUUAACACAAGGCUGAUAAAUGAUAAUGACAAGGAGAAUGAUUUCAAAACAAGCAGGUUUAUUUGCAUGGGAUACAUUUCUCUGGACGUUCUUGAACAGUGGUUGAGAAACAGGGGAACUACUACAUUAUUAUUCAAGAUCAAGGAAAAAAAUAAAACAGCAACAUCAUCAAAUAUAAAGUAGUAUCCAUCAUAAAGACUACUAGAAGCUAUAGGACACUUAAAACUAUACUGAGCACACACUGCAUAGGAUAAUUAACUAAGAUUGUUUU